GGAUGUAAGGGUGACCUGGCCAUGACAUCUGCCACUCUACUGAUUGUCAGGGUUAACUAGCUGACCUGGCGGGCUUUAUGAUGUCCUCCUCUGUGUCACUGCUCUACAACUGUCCUUCCCAAAUCUGUGUGCUCAGGUGUACCCUCACCAGCUGAGGGCCCUUCUUUGAGCGCAUGCAGAUACUGCUCCCUGAGGAAACCUCCUCACAAGCUCUUAAGAACCAUGCAGCGCGGGGGGUGGGGGACUUUUGGGAUAGCAUUUGAAAUGUAAAUGAAGAAAAUAUCUAAUAAAAAAUGU
ensembl:misc_RNA Gm25925 predicted gene, 25925